GGAAGGAUCAUUACUGAACUGUCGACACGAGUUGUUGCUGGCCCUCAAAAGGGGCACGUGCACGCUCUGUUUACACAUCCACUCACACCUGUGCACCCUCUGUAGUUCUAUGGCAUGGAGGGCUUUGCUCCCCUGCCGUGGUCCUGCGUCUUUACACACACGCCGUAAUAAAGUCUCAUGGAAUGUAUGUCGCGUUUAACGCAAUACAAUACAACUUUCAGCAACGGAUCUCUUGGCUCUCGCAUCGAUGAAGAACGCAGCGAAAUGCGAUAAGUAAUGUGAAUUGCAGAAUUCAGUGAAUCAUCGAAUCUUUGAACGCACCUUGCGCCCUUUGGCUAUUCUGAAGGGCAUGCCUGUUUGAGUAUCAUGAACACCUCAACUCUCGUGGUCCGCCGCGAUGAGCUUGGACUUUGGGGGUCUUGCCGGCCUAGUGUCGGCUCCUCUCAAAUGGAUCAGCCUGCCAGUGUUUGGUGGCAUCACGGGUGUGAUAACUAUCUACGCUUGUGGUUUUCCACCACGUAACCUUCAGCGAUGGAGGUUCGCUGGGGCUCACAGAUGUCUCUCCUCGGCGAGGACGGCUUUUGAACGUUUGAUCUCAAAUCAGGUAGGACUACCCGCUGAACUUAAGCAUAUCAAUAAGCGGAGGAAAAGAAACUAACAAGGAUUCCCCUAGUAACUGCGAGUGAAGCGGGAAGAGCUCAAAUUUAAAAUCUGGCGUGCCU
rnacentral:misc_RNA from 1 species